AUUUGAAUUCAAACUUGUAUUUCAGGUUGGUGAAGCAAUGGUUCUUGAUGGGAUUGUAUCAUCACCAUUACGAAGGCCACACGCGCCAAAGAAGCAGUGAGAGGACUUGGGUAGCCAGAUUGAGAAUUUUGAUUGUUCCGAGUUCCCUACGAGAAUUGCUGGAGAGAUCAAAUCAUUCUCAACUGAAGGAUGGGUUGCUCCAAAGCUUUCCAAACGGAUGGACAAGUUCAUGCUCUAUCUUCUCACUGCUGGUAAGAAAGCUUUGGCUGAUGGUGGUGUAACUUCUGAUGAAGUAAUGGCUGAGUUUAACAAAGCCAAAUGUGGAGUUUUGAUUGGCUCUGCAAUGGGUGGCAUGAAGGUCUUCAAUGAUGCUAUUGUAAGCGCUGAAGAUCUCUUACAAGAAGAUGAAUCCUUUCUGUGUACCUUUCGCCACAACAAACAUGGGUUCUGCUAUGCUUUUUAUAAAUUUGUCUUAGGAUCUUUUUAUUACUUGUCAUACAAGUUUGUGUCAUGAACUCAACAAUUAAUUUACUAAGAGACAACUAAAAGUCCCACCAGUAAUUACCAUUUUUACAAAAAGUCCUUAACAAUGUCCUAAUCUAAAAAUAACAAUAAAAAACUCUAAGGACUUAAAACUAAGGACAAUGGAUAAUCA